rnacentral:rRNA from 1 species
UAACCUGCCCAAGAGAUCGGGAUAACACCUGGAAACAGAUGCUAAUACCGGAUAACAACAGAUGAUGCCUAUCAACUGUUUAAAAGAUGGUUCUGCUAUCACUCUUGGAUGGACCUGCGGUGCAUUAGCUAGUUGGUAGGGUAACGGNCCCUACCAAGGCGAUGAUGCAUAGCCCGAGUUGAGAGACUGAUCGGCCACAUUGGGACUGAGACACGGCCCAAACUCCUACGGGAGGCAGCAGCC